UCUGAAGAUUGAGCUCGAUUUGAACUGAUUUUCUAGGGUUUUGAGUUCGAAAAUUGUCGAACGAGUUUUUUUUGAGGAAGAAGACCGACUUGGCAUUCAGUUUUGGUGAUUGUCCUUACAAAUUAGCUACUGGGGUUUGAUUAUAGGGCUGUUAUGAAGCUUGUACUUAGACUUCAGAUGGUUUAGAGCCGAUUUAAACGUGAUUUGAUUGGAAAAUUUUUGGGCUGAUUUUGUGGAGAAAAAGAACUGAAUUCUUUGAAUUUGCGGGUGAUAUCUUCAAAUCGAUUUCUGGCUGAUAUUGAAGGUCGAAGCAGAAGAACACUAGUUUCAAUUGAAGAACUUCGCGGACUGAUUCGACUCAACUCGAGCAGCUGACAAAUCGUCGCGACGAAACAGGUUUGAUUCUUUGUGAUUAGAACUGAGCUUCAUCUCUGAUUUCUGGGAAUUUGAGUUGAAUUAUCUGAAUUGAAACUGAAAAUUUCAUCUCUAUAAUUCUGGAAUUUUAUUAUUGUUGCGCAUUGGCUCA